rnacentral:tRNA from 1 species
UAUCUUUCUAGUAUCAAAUAAGUACAAGUGACUUCCAAUCAUUUAGUCUUGGUUAGACUCCAAGGAAAGAUAA